rnacentral:rRNA from 1 species
CCUACGGGUGGCAGCAGUGAGGAAUAUUGGUCAAUGGGCGAGAGUCUGAACCAGCCAAGUAGCGUGAAGGAUGACUGCCCUAUGGGUUGUAAACUUCUUUUAUAUGGGAAUAAAGUGUUCCACGUGUGGCUUUUUGUAUGUACCCUAUGAAUAAGGAUCGGCUAACUCCGUGCCAGCAGCCGCGGUAAUACGGAGGAUCCGAGCGUUAUCCGGAUUUAUUGGGUUUAAAGGGAGCGUAGAUGGUUUGUUAAGUCAGUUGUGAAAGUUUGCGGAUCAACCGUAAAAUUGCAGUUGAUACUGGCAGUAUUGAGUACAGUAGAGGUGGGCGGAAUUCGUGGUGUAGCGGUGAAAUGCUUAGAUAUCACGAAGAACUCCGAUUGCGAAGGCAGCUUACUAGACUGCCACUGACACUGAGGCUCGAAAGUGUGGGGAUCAAACAGGAUUAGAUACCCUAGUAGUC